rnacentral:lncRNA from 1 species
UCGGUUGGCGGGUUAGGUUACUGAAACCCGCUUCAAACCCGACCCGCACCCAUACCCACAAUUUAAGUAUAAAUAUGAUAAUUCAUCUUUUUCUUUCCCAUCUCCACUAUGCGCCGUCAACCCUAUUCCCAAAACCCAACUUUACUAUUCUGAUUCUUCUCAUUUUAUACAAUCCACAAUCGCUGCUAGAUUCACCACCAUCGGCAACGCAGCUGGAUUCUUCCAUCGACGACACCGCUCGAUUCUUCCACCGGCAGCAGAUCUAAAUUUUCAUUUGAGGAAUAAAAAGAUUUUCAUUUUCAUGGCAGGUGUUAUAAACUCAAACACUUUAGAUUGUGGAAUCAUUUCGGUCUUAUUUCCACUGUAUUAAGUAUUAACACCAUAACUUUAAAAGCCUUAUUUUUAGUCUUUUUUUUUCCUAUUUAUUCACGAGUUCAGAUGGACUCUCUUUUUAUAUAUCUGUAUUGCUUGUCUGUUUUGAAAAUUUUAGUUGUAUAAGAAUUAGCUUAUUUCUACUCAACUGAUGUUGGAUGUACAUUAUUUAGAAUUAAAAAAAAUUGUAAUCCAUUUUCUCCUCACCCGCCCGCAACCCGCCUGCCAACUGCCCUACCCGACGAACCCGACCUGUGCGGUUUUCAAGAAUAACUAGGCGGGUGCGGUUUGUGGUUUUAUAACCCGCCUGUUUCGGGUCGGGUUAUUUUUUUUCCCAAACCCGCCCAAACCCGCCCGUGUUCACCC